GACUUUGGACUCACGUAGGCAUAGGAGAACGAAACUUCUGUACAUUUUAAUCUGAAUAAUUCUUCAGGAUUUAAAAUUAAUUGGCUCUGGCUUGGUUGGACCGUACUCGGAUCUCGCCACCUCUGCGUUUCCCGAGUCACUGGCGAAGAGGUCCCAGUUCCUCUGGGAAUCGUCCUGUAUGCAACAUCUUCACAAGAGUGGCAGGCAGUUGAAUCUCUGGCCUUCGUGGGACCACUGGACAUCUGGCAGAGAACCAGGAAACCACGGUUCCCUUCUGUGAGUCCCUCAGCCGGAAAACUACAAGCUCCUCAUGCAGCUGCUGUCUACAGACCCCCUGGACUGCCUGGGGAAGUGAGUCGGAGCUCCUGCAGCAGAGGGGUGGAACAGCUACACGAAGAUCCGAAGGUGGCCAAAAAUAACAGCGCUUUCCAGAUGAGGGAGCCAGUUGUCCAGCACAGUGUCAUGGGACAGUGGGCCCUGGUGCCACAAUGCCCGGCAUCUCCACCAGAUACAGCUUUGAGAUCUUCAUGAUGAAGCUUGCUCCAAUCCAAGGGCUGUCAGGUGGGGUUUGCGGUUCAGCUGCUAACCUUUCUUUGGUUUCAUCUGGGUGUUUGGCAUCAUGUUCAGAAAUGUGAAAAAUAAAAUUCAGCACCGUUAUUACUGAAUUAGAUAAAAUGAUUGUAUUUAAUUAAUCCGUAAAUAUUAACUAAUUAUUCUGUUUACCAUAACAUGUAAUGAAUAUAAUUCUCCACCAGGCAAAUAAAGAAAGAAAGAUGUAAUUAGGUGAUUUAAGCAUAAAACUUGGCUGAAAGCAUAUUUAAAUCUUGGUCAUAGUUUACUGGCAUUAAUUUCCUUGGGCAAAAAUCUUUGUAGGUCCUCAGACAACCAUUUUCUCUUCUGAGGAAUAGAUUUCCCUCGUUCUUCUGAGGGUCUGUUCAUUUACAAUGUGUUUUGACAGUAGUAAAAUUUAGUAAACAUUCAGUAACAUAUGAGAUACAUCUAGUAAUAGAUGUUUUCUUUGCCAAGUGAAUUAUCUGGGGCUGAUAAAAAUCAGUGUAAAACCCACUCUCAGAGCAGCCUUCUGACAUGCCUGAGGCUGAACCCCGAAGAGGAAUCUACUGAAACUGGACUUGAAAGCCUUUGUCACAAUGAAAAGCACCUUCUGUGACUGACAUUCUUUUGUGAUCUCCUCCAAAAAAGUUAUCAUAAUUAUUGAACAUUUCCUCUGUAGCUUAUUCUCAAUCCAAUCAGUUAUAAUGAAAAUAGUCUGCUUGCUUUUUAUAUUCUUAAGUUUUCAAAAUGAUUAGUGCUUCCUUGAGAUAUCCCAUUAAUUGGACACACAACCCAGAUGAAAAGGCUGAAACCCAAGAGUAUAUAAAAAAACAUAAGGUUGUUGCAAUUUAAGUGCCUUCAAAAGAUCUAAUUUGAUUUCUAAAAGCAAUUUUGCAGAUGUGAAAAUUAAAGGCACGCAGAAACAAGAUAUGAUUUAAUGAACGUGUAGGUUAAGAAACAUUUAGAGGUUUCAGUAGCUUUACUCUGACGUUUUUGUUUGUUUGUUUAGCUGUUAUGUUGGAAAGAUUGAGUCCACAACACAAUAAAAAUUACUGAAUUUUA
ensembl:lncRNA NR2F2-AS1 NR2F2 antisense RNA 1